GACGAACGCUGGCGGCGUGCCUAAUACAUGCAAGUCGAGCGGAUCGAUGGAAGCUUGCUUCCUGAGAUCAGCGGCGGACGGGUGAGUAACACGUGGGCAACCUGCCCCUAAGAUCGGGAUAACUUCGGGAAACCGGAGCUAAUACCGGAUAGGACUUUUCUUCACAUGAAGGGAAGUGGAAAGACGGUUUCGGCUGUCACUUAGGGAUGGGCCCGCGAGGCAUUAGCUAGUUGGUGAGGUAACGGCUCACCAAGGCCACGAUGCGUAGCCGACCUGAGAGGGUGAUCGGCCGCACUGGGACUGAGACACGGCCCAGACUCCUACGGGAGGCAGCAGUAGGGAAUCUUCCGCAAUGGACGAAAGUCUGACGGAGCAACGCCGCGUGAGUGAAGAAGGUUUUCGGAUCGUAAAACUCUGUUGUCAGGGAAGAACAAGUACCAUAGUAACUGAUGGUACCUUGACGGUACCUGACCAGAAAGCCACGGCUAACUACGUGCCAGCCGCCGCAGUAACAC
rnacentral:rRNA from 1 species